rnacentral:rRNA from 1 species
CAUGGUUGUCGUCAGCUCGUGUCGUGAGAUGUGGGUUAAGUCCGCAACGAGCGCAACCCUCGACCUUAGUUGCCAGCAUUCAGUUGGGCACUCUAAGGUGACUGCCGGCUAAAAGUCGGAGGAAGGUGGGGAUGACGUCAAAUCAUCAUGCCCCUUAUGACCUGGGCUACACACGUGCUACAAUGGGCGGUACAAAGGGUCGCGAACCCGCGAGGGGGAGCCAAUCCCAAAAAGCCGCUCUCAGUUCGGAUUGCAGGCUGCAACUCGCCUGCAUGAAGCCGGAAUCGCUAGUAAUCGCGGAUCAGCAUGCCGCGGUGAAUACGUUCCCGGGCCUU